UGCAUUGAACCUCUUCUCUCUCAGUUUCCUCUCCGUCGUCAUCAAGGUGAUGGUGCUGGUGCUGGUGCAGGCGCUCGGAGUGCUUGUCGCCGUUGGUAGGUCGCCGAAAGAAUUCAGAAUCUGGAGGCUCGGAGUGCUUGACGUCGUUGGUAUGUCGCCGGAAGAACUCAGAUUCUGGAGGCUCGGAGUGCUUGUCGCCGUUGGUAGGUCGCCGAAAGAACUCAGAAUCUGGAGGCUCGGAGUGCUUGACGUUGUUGGUAUGUCGCCGGAAGAACUCAGAUUCUGGAGGCUCGGAGUGCUUGUCGUCGUCG
rnacentral:lncRNA from 1 species